rnacentral:lncRNA from 1 species
CCUCCAGGGACUGGGAAAUCAAGUUUGAUUGCUGCAAUGGCUAAUUAUUUGAACUUUGAUAUAUAUGAUUUGGAGUUGACUGAGCUGAGGAGGAACUCAGACUUAAGGAAGUUGUUGGUUGCCACUGCUAAUAAGUCCAUUUUGGUGGUAGAGGAUAUUGAUUGUACUAUUGACUUGCAAGAUAAUUUGGGUAAUCGAGCUGUUGUUGCUAAUUCACAUGGUUUUCAUCAGCAAGAAAGGAAGGUUAGUCUUUUAUUUUCUAUUCUCCUAUUUUACUAUUUUUUGUUUUAUUUUAUUUAAUUAAUUGUGAUAUCCAAAAUCUAUUAAUCCGGCUAAUUUAAAAUGACGUUUAAAUAUCUCCUUUUAAAUCAAAACACUCUCCAAUUUGUAUUCUUGGGAAUAGAUGCAGGAGAGAUGGGAUGGGGCAUGUAGCUCAUAGGAUUAAAGUACGUGCUACGAGCUAAUAAGUCCAUUUUGGUGGUAGAGGACAUUGACUGUACCAUUGACUUGCAAGAUAAUUUGGCUAAUCGAUCUGUUGUUGCUACUUCACAUGGUUUUCAUCAGCAAGAAAGCAAGGUUAGUCUUUUAUUUUCUAUCUCCUAUCCUACUGUUUUUUUAAAAAAAAAAUUUAUUUAACCAUGUGUGAUAUCCUAAAUCUACUCAUCUAACUAAUUCAAAUUGACAUCGCAAAUAUCUCCUUUCAGAGAUAGAUCUAGGAUUUUACUUUUAUGGGCUAUUGAUUCAUAUAUAUUAUUUAUUGUAAUUUUAAUAAUUUUUUAUACAUAAAUUUAUGCUCCGUGUUGAAAAUAUUGGGUUUAGUUGAACCCAAUAGUUCUAUAUUGUAUUAGCCACUGUCUCUUUUUAAAUCAAAACACUCUUCAAUUUGUACUCCCAAAAUAGAUCCGGUGGAGACUUGAAGUGGGGCCUAUAGCACAGGGGAUUAGAGCACAUUGCUACGAACCACAAUGUCGAGGAUUCAAAUCCCUCACCCACAACCGGCCCAAAUGGGAAUUACCUUUUCCUUGGGGUAGGAAAAUCAUGAUCAUAAUACCAUACGACUAAUUCAAAUUGACGUUGUGAAUAUCUCCCUUUUAAUCAAAACACUCUCCAAUUUGCACUCGCGGGAACAUAUCUAGUGGAUAAGGGGUGGGAUCUGUAGCUGAAAGGAUUAGAACGUGGCUACGAACAAUGGUGUCAGGGGUUCGACUCCCUUAUCGCGCAUACCCGGCCCAAAAGGAAAAUACCUUUCCCUCUAGGGUAGAAAAAUCAUGAUCUGGAUAGUGAACCACACGCUAUGGAACUUGGGUGUGGGUCUUUUGUCGAAAUAGAAUGACUUUUCUUUUUCUUUUUUUAUUUAUUAUUUAUUGCACAAACCAAAUACCUAAUGUAUUAGGGGAAAGUAAUAUAUGUAUUAGCUUUAGUAUUAUUAAUCCCUUGUUUGGUAAUAUUUUCAACCUAUGUAUUAGUUAUAUACUCUAUUUGAUAUUAUCCUAUGUAUAACCAAUACAUAACAAACUAUAUCGUUAGUAAUACGAUGAUUUUUAAUAAAUAGAUAAGCAUAUGUAUAGCAGUAUGCAAUGCAUAUUACUUUUAAUACUCUAAAUUGAUAAGAAAUAAUCUAGUAUAACUAAUCCUAACAUACGUUACUAAUACACCAUAUUCAUUACUUAUCUUAUACACCCUACUAAACAACCCGAACAGCCUUAUGAGUGAAAUAUAGGGAAAAUUUAGAUUUGGUAUUAGUGUAUUAUAAUACCUUCCCUCACUAAAAAUAUUUUUUAUCGCAGGUGACAUUGUCUGGUCUACUGAAUUUUAUUGAUGGACUAUGGUCAAGUUGUGGCGACGAAAGAAUCAUAAUUUUCACAACAAAUCACAUAGAAAAACUCGAUCCAGCAUUGUUACGGCCUGGUAGAAUGGACGUACAUAUUCAUAUGGCAUAUUGCACACCUUGUGGUUUUGAGCUUCUUGCUUCUAAUUACCUUGGAAUUAAAGAGCACAAACUUUUCAAAGAUAUUGAGGAAAUAAUUGACAUAGCAAUGGUGACGCCUGCACAAGUGGCAGAGCAGUUGUUGAAGGAAGAUGAGAUUGAGGAUUCCCUUAAAGGGUUAAUUAAUUUUCUAAAUGCAAAAAGAAAAGAGACUAAGGCUAAGAAAGUGGAAAUAAUUCAAGUGGAGUCUAUUGAUGGGAAGAAGAAAAGUGACGAAAAUGGGAUUAAAGAAAAAGGAUUACCAAAUGGGAAGAGUUAAAACUAUAGACUGAUAUUUUUUUUUUUGUUAAUUUGGUCUAUAUAAAGGAGCCUAUCUAAUAAAAUUGUUAAGGUGUUAUUAUAUACAAAUUACGGUCUACAUAUCAUUUAUGUAAUCACUAAGUGCACUAAUGUAUUUAGUUUCCUGUUAUAUAUAUAGGUCAUAAUUUUGGGAAAAACAAAGUGUAUUCCUUCAAGAAUACUAAUAUUGAUUAAUGAAUGAAUCUAAU